AGGAGGAACAACCCCAGUGGUGGCGGCCAGCUCUCCAGCCCUGGAGUCAGCUCCCACAGUAGCUUCAGAGCUCUCAGUCUGCAGGGGCCUGGAUACUCCAGGGGCGG
rnacentral:pre_miRNA from 1 species